rnacentral:rRNA from 1 species
ACGCGACCGGGAGGUCAGG